rnacentral:rRNA from 1 species
UGCAAGUCGAGCGCUCGUAGCAAUACGGGAGCGGCAGACGGGAGAGUAACACGUGGGAACGUACCCUUCGGUUCGGAAUAACCCAGGGAAACUUGGGCUAAUACCGGAUACGUCCGUAAGGAGAAAGAUUUAUUGCCGAAGGAUCGGCCCGCGCCCGAUUAGCUAGUUGGUGAGGUAAUGGCUCACCAAGGCGACGAUCGGUAGCUGGUCUGAGAGGAUGAUCAGCCUCACUGGGACUGAGACACGGCCCAGACUCCUACGGGAGGCAGCAGUGGGGAAUAUUGGACAAUGGGCGCAAGCCUGAUCCAGCCAUGCCGCGUGGGUGAUGAAGGCCUUAGGGUUGUAAAGCCCUUUCGGCGGGGAAGAUAAUGACGGUACCCGCAGAAGAAGCCCCGGCUAACUUCGUGCCAGCAGCCGCGGUAAUACGAAGGGGGCUAGCGUUGCUCGGAAUCACUGGGCGUAAAGCGCACGUAGGCGGGUCCUUAAGUCAGAGGUGAAAUCCUGGAGCUCAACUCCAGAACUGGCUUUGAUACUGAGGAUCUCGAGUUCGGGAGAGGUGAGUGGAACUGCGA